UGUCACAUCUGCAAACAAAGGGUUAUUUAUUUGACUCAAACCUAUGUGCUCCUAUGAAAGCUCUGGAUCUGCUAUGAUGGUCAAGGAGUUGAGCUCCUUUUUCUAGUUUAUCUGUGGUAGCAUCACAUGGAUUUUUUGUGAUAACUUCACGAUGUUCUCAACUACAUUUGUUAUGUGACAUGUAAUAUCUCACUACCUUAAAAUAAUUUUAACAAGGACUAGCGAGUGAGUUUCUACUUUUCCCUUGGAAAGCCCCAUAGAGACAUAAUGGUAUAUUGUUUCCCAUUAACAAUUUUCCUUUCCUCUAUGUUGGCAAUGUAAUGAACUUCCUAUCUUUUGACA